GAUGAACGCUGGCGGCGUGCCUAAUACAUGCCAGUCGAGCGAACAGACGAGGAGCUUGCUCCUCUGACGUUAGCGGCGGACGGGUGAGUAACACGUGGAUAACCUACCUAUAAGACUGGGAUAACUUCGGGAAACCGGAGCUAAUACCGGAUAAUAUAUUGAACCGCAUGGUUCAAUAGUGAAAGACGGUUUUGCUGUCACUUAUAGAUGGAUCCGCGCCGCAUUAGCUAGUUGGUAAGGUAACGGCUUACCAAGGCAACGAUGCGUAGCCGACCUGAGAGGGUGAUCGGCCACACUGGAACUGAGACACGGUCCAGACUCCUACGGGAGGCAGCAGUAGGGAAUCUUCGGCAAUGGGCGAAAGCCUGACGGAGCAACGCCGCGUGAGUGAUGAAGGUCUUCGGAUCGUAAAACUCUGUUAUUAGGGAAGAACAAAUGUGUAAGUAACUAUGCACGUCUUGACGGUACCUAAUCAGAAAGCCACGGCUAACUACGUG
rnacentral:rRNA from 1 species